rnacentral:rRNA from 1 species
UGGGGAAUAUUGGGCAAUGGGGGAAACCCUGACCCAGCAACGCCGCGUGGAGGAAGAAGGUUUUCGGAUCGUAAACUCCUGUCCUCAGGGAAGAGAAGGAGACGGUACCUGAGGAGGAAGCCCCGGCUAACUACGUGCCAGCAGCCGCGGUAAUACGUAGGGGCAAGCGUUGUCCGGAAUGAUUGGGCGUAAAGGGCGCGUAGGCGGCUUGUUAAGUCUGAAGUGAAAGUCCUGCUUUCAAGGUGGGAAUUGCUUUGGAUACUGAUGAGCUUGAGUGCAGGAGAGGUAAGUGGAAUUCCCAGUGUAGCGGUGAAAUGCGUAGAGAUUGGGAGGAACACCAGUGGCGAAGGCGACUUACUGGACUGUAACUGACGCUGAGGCGCGAAAGUGUGGGGAGCAAACAGGAUUAGAUACCCUGGUAGU